CCCUGGAGGAAGGAGCUUUUUGCUGUGGAAGAGAGGAGCUGCCUGCUGAAGGAGCAGCACAUGACAUGGCUGUGGGAUGAAGAACCCUGACACGCAGAACAAGUGUUGGAACACUGGCUGGCUUAAGAUACUUACUUUAAAAUCCAGGGUCCACAAGAAUUUACACAUGGAAAGGAAAGCAGCUCACUCAUCCUCCAUAUAAUUCAACUCGCAGAUACUGCUUCUUGAGUAAAAUCAGAAUGACGGGAAAAUGUUAAGGCUUUUCAUUAAUCAGCUCACAAAACGAACCCCCUUCACCUUUCAUAGACAAAUGCUUGAAUCAGUAUUCUUGCAUAUAAUUAUAAUUUCUCUGCAUUUAUAUAAUUCACUCCAGACCCUUCCAGUCCUUUUGGGCCACAUCUGAUGAAGGAAAACAUUAAAGUGAUUUAUACUGAAGAGCGCUCCUGGAACUUCAUAUCUGUGGGUGCAGAGCAUAGAAGAAAGAGCACUUGAUUCAGAUGGGGGGCAGGGUGAGACCAGUUCAGGCAUCUUGUUAGGUCUCGAGAGGCAUGAGGUGGAGGCUUAUUUUUUGUCUCAUGUUGAAGACAACCCCAACUGAGUAAGCAGCAUGAAAAAUGGUAACUUGGUCAUCUGUGCUGGAGAGUCAAAGGAAGCUGGACAUAGUGGUAACCACAACACUCCUUUGUGGAGUUAUUGGCAUGCUUUUAACCAAGCUAUCCUGAAGACUUCUACCUUCUUUCAAACAUUUGAAUUAGAGGUUGGUAAAUACCACAAAAACCCAUCCAGACA